rnacentral:rRNA from 1 species
CAGCAGCCGCGGAAUACAGAGGGUGCGAGCGUUAAUCGGAUUUACUGGGCGUAAAGCGUGCGUAGGCGGCUUUUUAAGUCGGAUGUGAAAUCCCUGAGCUUAACUUAGGAAUUGCAUUCGAUACUGGGAAGCUAGAGUAUGGGAGAGGAUGGUAGAAUUCCAGGUGUAGCGGUGAAAUGCGUAGAGAUCUGGAGGAAUACCGAUGGCGAAGGCAGCCAUCUGGCCUAAUACUGACGCUGAGGUACGAAAGCAUGGGGAGCAAACAGGAUUAGAUACCCCUGUAGUCCCUGUCUCUUAUACA